rnacentral:lncRNA from 1 species
GUGGCUCUCUUCCCUCCGCCACCACCCUUCCUCCCUUCCUCCUGGCUCUCUCCCCUCCGUCGCCCUUGUGCGCGCGACCACUGCAGGUACCCCAUACGCGAGGGCGGAGCCCGCUCGGGGACACAGACGAGCACCUUCUGACGUCGCUCGUCACCGAGGCGCCCGCCACGUUGUUGGAGGCAACACAAGAGGAGGAGGAGUACGCGGCUGUGGAGGAGGUCCGUCCAAGGACGCGAGGGCCCAUCGGCGACCAACAGCCGACGACCCAUCUUCCCCAACCCUGCGGGCGAAGUCACUUUCCCCAUCCCUACCGCCGACCUCGUCUCCCCAACCCCGGCCUCAGAUCCACCCAAUCGAGCAUGUCAGGCUGCGGUGUCAUGGAGAUGAAGCUCCUUUUUCUCCACAACCAACUACUGACGGCCUCGAUUCACCCCAAACCCCUCCUCCUCCUUCCGGCCCCUACUAGUCGCCUGCCGCAACGCCGCUUCCUCCCUCCCUCGUCACGCUCGGAACCCUAGCCCGCGGGUGUCCAUGGCGACCGAGUUCCUCCCCAAGGAUUCGCAUCACCCGCUCCGCCCCAAGAACAGGAGCGUCGACAAGGGUACAAAGAAUCCCUCCUCCUCUUCUUCUGGUUUUCUUCCAUAACCCCAACUGAUUCGUGCGUGCGUGCAGUUUGCUCCUAUCCCGUCCGGUGAAUGAGCAAGCCAUGAAGAAGCAGUUGCUGACGGCAGAGGAGGCUCAAGGUUCAAUUCAGUCUCGUGUGGCUGCUCCAGCCGACGCCCACGCUGUGGAUUGGAAGGUUUCCUCCCCACUCUCUCGCCCAACUCCGUGUAUUAGCUUAAUUCAGGGUAUUCACCAUAAAAAGCUUCAUUCACGAUGUGUUUGUUGGAUCUAGUAACGCAACAACGAAAUUAGCCUUUGGUAUUUUUGGAUGGACAUAAAUAAAAAUCCUCGCUUUUCACGCCAAUCAGACUGUGAAAUACCUCCUAUUUGAGGUGAAUAAUACAUGAUUUGCUUUGGCCGACUCACUUAGCUAGAUCCGUCAUGUCAUUUUGCAGGAAUGCUUAGUUCAUGUCAUAUAAUCAUCGAUGAUUUGAUGUGUUGAUUCUAGUCUAGCAUGUUGAUUCUUACAAACACCUAACAAUCAAGCAGUGCUAGUUUCUGCAGUCUCGGCCUUAUCAAGUAAAUGCAAACAAGGUAUUAGCUAAUCUGGUCAGCCAUUUUCUGUAAAUAAAGUUAUAUUUUCCUAAAUCAAAUGAGACUUAAAGAAAUCUCAUAUGAUUGAGACCUACCUAGUAGCAGGACAUAUGUUCAAGACAUAAAACCAAGAGAGAUCAACUAGAUUUUAUUGCGAGGCUUGUUUUUUCAGACAUGAUAUAUAUAUGCACAAAUGACUAACUACACAAUGAGCUAUUGGCCAGAUACCAACCACAACAUACUUUAAUACAUCGGUCAAUCAAGAACUCAAAAUAUGCAUGAACCACCUCUAUGUCCCCAUUUCAAAUAUUGUGCGAGUAAAUGAUCACUAAACUAAGAAGGCUCAACCUCAUAACAACUUAUUUUAUGUUAAUAGCCUACAAUGUUGUCUCAAAGCUUCUUGUCCAAAAAAAUACCACUACUUUUUGUGUCCUUCAGGAAUGUGUAUCCUUAAGGAUAACUCAAGCAGCUAUAUAGCUCGCUGCAAAUCGCUUGUCCUUCCUCCUUUCCUGAACAUGAAUGUGAGAUUUUGUGCAUGCAAGAUCAUGGUCCUGGAGCAUGUGCGUCCCUUGCCAACAUGUAGAUUGCCUACUGUUAGGUAUCUUAGUCUUGAUAUAACUCUGCAGUUUACUUAAAAAUCUGCAGUUCCUUCCAAAAGUAUAUGGAAAGUGUGUGUUACAAGUGAGCAAAUCUGUAGUAAUUACUGAGUAUACUAUCUGCUUUCUUUUAGGGGCUAUUUUCUGCUCAGUUCUCUUUUGACAUAUAGUUUGUUCUCCUUGAAUGUGUAGGUUGUAUGUUGUGCUGGUGAUGUUUUUUUGUUGCUGGGGUCAUUUGAACCUGGAUGUCAUGUGUUAUGUUAUGUGAUCUGGGCCAUAUGGCAUAGUGUAAUCUUUUAUUACUGUUUUUUCGUAUGAUGUCAUGAAGAUAUACGUUUGAAAUGCUUCUUUGACAACAAAAUUUUAUUCCUCGAUACAUGCUGCUUUGAUAGUAAAAUAAUGAAAAAUUCUAAACAAUAUAUAUGGGUUAAAUAUCUGUUUUCCAAAAUUUUGUUCUUAAACUUGUAUUGCGCUUGAAA